AGUGAACGCUGGCGGUGGGCCUAACACAUGCAAGUCGAACGGCAGCACAGUAAGAGCUUGCUCUUACGGGUGGCGAGUGGCGGACGGGUGAGGAAUACAUCGGAAUCUACUUUUUCGUGGGGGAUAACGUAGGGAAACUUACGCUAAUACCGCAUACGACCUACGGGUGAAAGCAGGGGAUCUUCGGACCUUGCGCGAUUGAAUGAGCCGAUGUCGGAUUAGCUAGUUGGCGGGGUAAAGGCCCACCAAGGCGACGAUCCGUAGCUGGUCUGAGAGGAUGAUCAGCCACACUGGAACUGAGACACGGUCCAGACUCCUACGGGAGGCAGCAGUGGGGAAUAUUGGACAAUGGGCGCAAGCCUGAUCCAGCCAUACCGCGUGGGUGAAGAAGGCCUUCGGGUUGUAAAGCCCUUUUGUUGGGAAAGAAAAGCAGCAGGUUAAUACCCCGCUGUUCUGACGGUACCCAAAGAAUAAGCAUCGGCUAACUUCGUG
rnacentral:rRNA from 1 species